AAUAUACCUAUACCAACUCACUGAAAAAAAUAACUAAAACUAAAACCGAAAAAUGGUAUCAUCAAUUGUUUGUGAUUUGUGCACUAAUAAUGUGGAGAAAAGUGAGUUUGAAGCUCAUUAUGGCAAGGGCUCAAAGCCUCGAAAUGGUUUCGAAGUUUUCAUGGCUAGAUCACAAAUAAAAUGCGACUUGUGCUCUACUGAGGUCAACAAUAAUGACUUUGAUGAGCAUUAUCAAAAUUGUGAAGGGCCCAAAAAUGCAUUCAUUUUAUUAAUGAAUGGUAGAAAACAACAACAAAAACAAAAAAAAAACAACAACAACAACAACAGCAUCAAAAAUAACAACAACACCAUCAAAAACAACAACAACAACUAAACCAAGAACUAAAAAAUUUAGACGACCAUCCUUCAACAUCCGCUAAUGCUCUUAAACGAAUAAGAUUGGAGGAGGGUAAAAAAAUCAUUAAUCAACACAAAGAAAAUUAAAAUUAUAGAGAGCAAAAAGGAUUUAAAAAUGGAACUUUUAUUUCCUACGUGCAGUGAAAAAUAUCUGGCCUCAAGAGAACGUCAGCCGAUAUUGACCGGUAAGCAUAAAAAUGCAUCGGUCAGAGAGGUCAAGAAUAAUCAAAAUAUUAUUCACCUUUGUUCUAAAACUAAGUUUCCAGUAAAAUCAUAUAGAAUAAAUAGUUCUGUCCAAAAUACUAUUGAUUUAAAAGAUUAUUACCAGCUUUGCCAAAGAAAUAUAAUAGAAGUUCUAAAGCAUUGCAUGAUUGAAUAUAGUGUCAUUAAAUUCAGCCUGAGAGUUUAUGGUACCUAUAAAAAACGAGAAGGAGAUACAAUUAAAACAACAAAACAUUUUACGACUGCAGACAAAUCGGUAUACCAAUCUGAAAACAUUGACAAUGAGUUAAAUACGGCAAUAGAUAGUUUAUUAACAUCAAGCAGUGAGUUUAAAGAAAAAGAUUCUGGUUGGCAAUUAGAAAUUUUAUAUAUUUUGAAAUUACGAUAAUAAAUCUAGAAAACAUUCCUGCUAGCGGAUACAUCCAGGCCCCUAAAAAUAUAAGAGCACGAAAUGCGCUUAUAAAUGUAAAAAACACGGAUGUAUUUUGUUUCAAGUGGUGCGUACUAGCAUACGAGUAUAUAGCUAAUAAAAGCCAUGAGAGUACUACCUUUGCAACAACACAGCAAAGAAAGUAUUCGAAAAAAUGACAAAGCAAUCAUUGUGUAUGAUGGCAUAAGUUUGUAUUUUUCGGAAAUCGAGUGUCCAAUCACAAAUAAAGGAAUUAUUCAGUUUAAAAAAAAAUAAUGCAGACUUCAACAUUAACAUUUAUGAAACUGAUGCAGAUGGCGAAAAAAUUAUCAGGCCAACCUUUAGAACAAAGUCAAUUCGUUCUAUUCAUAUCAAUAUAUUAGGAAUCAACAAUAUAAGCCAAGAAGUCAUGCAUUAUGCCUACAUUAUGAGUGUAAAAAGAUUAUGUUAAUCGCAACAUUCCAAAUCGAAGGCGGGUGGAUAUUUUUGUGAAAACUGCUUACAAUUUUUCACCGUAAAUAACACAACCCAUAAUAAGCUUGAGUGCGGAAAAGAAGCCUCCAUCUACCCAGAGCCAAAUACUACAACAUCGUUUAAGGGCUUUCACAAAAAAUUAUCCCCUCCAGUGGUGAUAUAUGCUGAAAUUGAGGCUGUUCUUGAAAAUUACGGUACAUGCCUAAACUGAGCAACUACUUCGUCGACAACAAAAGUGCAAAAGCAUACUGUAUGUGCAGUAUCAUUUUACAUUGCGCAUAAAUAUAAUCCGGCUCUUAACGAAUUGUACACAUAUGAAGGCGCUGACUGCAUUACCCAAUUUUGUAAAUCACUCAAAGAAAAAACUAUGAGUUUGUUUUACAAAUAUUGGUCAACCCCCAAAGGUCCGAGCACAAGUCCAAUUAAUGACGAUGAUCAGAAGGGUAGUUGCUGCGCCUGUGAGAAUGAAAUACAUGAUGACGACCUGGAAAACCACUUCGACCAAUUUACUGGAAAUUACGUGGUACCUAUUCAUAAAAAUUGUAAGCCAAAAUAUAAAUUAAGGGAUCCUUUGUUUCCUGUAGUA